AAAAUGUGACAGUGGGAGGAAAGCUGCGAUGUGGUGAGGAGGAGCUGAUCUCCGCCUUGCAGCGGGAGGAAAGCAGGUAGCUCAGACGGUUCAGACCAUCAUGGUUCUUCGUGCAGCCUUUGGGUUGUAGGACGUCUCAUCAGUGUUCGUCUUCCUGCCUGCUGGCUGGUGUUUACCUUCAGGAUGUCCAGAGACCUUCACCUUUCUGGAGCAGGAAUCACAUGAGCUCAAUAUGCUGAUGAAAUAUUUCUGAU